rnacentral:vault_RNA from 1 species
GGACUGGCUUUAGCUCAGCGGUUACUUAAGGGCUGUGAUUAAGACCGUCCUUGAGGUUAGAAAGCAAACCGUCUUUGAAGGUUCGAAACCCGCGGGAGCUAUCCAGUCCUUUU